rnacentral:lncRNA from 1 species
CCACCUGUCAUCUUUCUCUUAUGUUGAAACUGAGGAUGAGGUUGGAACUCCGUUCCAAGCCUUAUCUAUUGCUGCUGAAAAGUGAGUUGGGGCAUCCAUGUCCUCAUUUAAAGAUGCAAGGAAGAUUGUUGAAGAUGGGAAUGUUGAUAAGUGGGGACGAAUGGUAGAAGUAUCCGAUAAUAAGAGCAGAACCGGUAUGGGUUUUCAGCAAGGAUCGUCGGCUGUUAGAUCAGAGGAUGUGCAACUCAGUUUCCAUAGCGGAUGGUUC